GUUCAACUUUUCAGAAAUCGGACAAAUAAUGGAAGGACAACGUGUUGAUAGUGAUGUGUUUGAGGUAGCGAUCAAUUCUAUUGAAACGCUAUUGAAAACCAUGAAGAAAUCCACAUCUGAACACGCUGUUCAGGUAGGACAGGUGGAGAAACAGGAGAUCGGUGUGCUCACCAGACCUCUAGUCACAAAGUUGUGGUCGGUCCCAGGGCAUUACGCUGGUGAUAAACCAACACGAGCCAGAGAUCAAGCUAUGAUCCAAGACCUGAAGAUACGUGAAAUGCCACUGGUUACAAAACUCCAACCAACAAAAGACAAAAAGAAACGCUUUCAAGCUUUUAUGCGUGAGCUGAGACAAAGGACGCAGGUGCAACCAAGACAAAGUACCCCAUGGGCCUUUGAAAUGGAUGAAGAGCGAUCAAUUCUAUUGAAACGCUAUUGAAAACCAUGAAGAAAUCCACAUCUGAACACGCUGUUCAGGUAGGACAGGUGGAGAAACAGGAGAUCGGUGUGCUCACCAGACCUCUAGUCACAAAGUUGUGGUCGGUCCCAGGGCAUUACGCUGGUGAUAAACCAACACGAGCCAGAGAUCAAGCUAUGAUCCAAGACCUGAAGAUACGUGAAAUGCCACUGGUUACAAAACUCCAACCAACAAAAGACAAAAAGAAACGCUUUCAAGCUUUUAUGCGUGAGCUGAGACAAAGGACGCAGGUGCAACCAAGACAAAGUACCCCAUGGGCCUUUGAAAUGGAUGAAGAGCGAUCAAUUCUAUUGAAACGCUAUUGAAAACCAUGAAGAAAUCCACAUCUGAACACGCUGUUCAGGUAGGACAGGUGGAGAAACAGGAGAUCGGUGUGCUCACCAGACCUCUAGUCACAAAGUUGUGGUCGGUCCCAGGGCAUUACGCUGGUGAUAAACCAACACGAGCCAGAGAUCAAGCUAUGAUCCAAGACCUGAAGAUACGUGAAAUGCCACUGGUUACAAAACUCCAACCAACAAAAGACAAAAAGAAACGCUUUCAAGCUUUUAUGCGUGAGCUGAGACAAAGGACGCAGGUGCAACCAAGACAAAGUACCCCAUGGGCCUUUGAAAUGGAUGAAGAGCGAUCAAUUCUAUUGAAACGCUAUUGAAAACCAUGAAGAAAUCCACAUCUGAACACGCUGUUCAGGUAGGACAGGUGGAGAAACAGGAGAUCGGUGUGCUCACCAGACCUCUAGUCACAAAGUUGUGGUCGGUCCCAGGGCAUUACGCUGGUGAUAAACCAACACGAGCCAGAGAUCAAGCUAUGAUCCAAGACCUGAAGAUACGUGAAAUGCCACUGGUUACAAAACUCCGACCAACAAAAGAC